rnacentral:rRNA from 1 species
UACGUAGGGGGCGAGCGUUGUCCGGAUUUAUUGGGCGUAAAGCGCGGGCAGGCGGCCCGGUAAGUCGGCCGUGAAAGCGCCGGGCUCAACUCGGCGAGGACGGGCGAGACUGCAGGGCUGGAGCAAGGCAGAGGGCGGUGGAAUUCCGGGUGUAGUGGUGGAAUGCGUAGAGCUCCGGAGGAACACCAGUGGCGAAGGCGGCCGCCUGGGCCUUUGCUGACGCUGAGCCGCGAAAGCGUGGGGAGCAAACAGG